rnacentral:lncRNA from 1 species
CAGGUUGUUGAAUAACUUGAGGAAAGUUUAUUCAGAGGGGACGGCAGGUCCCUUUUAAAGCAAAAUUACAUCAUAAGCAUUGUCAGAGAUAACAUGGAAUAAUACAUCAAUAAUUGGUUAGGUGUUAAGUGGUUGUUCUAAUGCUCUGCCUACUAUAGGUGAUGUCACCGGGGCCAUGAGGGUCUCCCACGGUUUCCCGGCGCCAUCUUGUUUGCACGAGGUAGUUAGUCGAUGUUAUGAAGGGAGGGGAGGAGAGGGUGGAGGGGCUAGAAGCUUCUAGCAGCCAUUUUGAUUAAACAUGUAUGCUUAACUCUAUAAUACUUUGUGAGAUGAGUAAAUAGACAUUUUCUCUUAUCUAGGAAAUAUGUGUAAACCUUAUUUCCACAACAGUCCCCCCUAAAAUGGCUAUUUACCAUAACAACUGCCACUAUCCCUAAUAUAUCCCUAAUGAUGUGUUUCUAAUUACCUAUCCAUCCAUCUUGGCAAGCAUCGAACGCUUCACUCCGUGGGUAACCCGCAGCGGCUAAUCCACUACAUCUCCACACGUGAGACUCACCUGCCAAGACAGAUGCUUUCCCUAUACUAUCCCUACAGGAAGGCAGUUGUCUGUUUGAAUUGGUGUGCCUGAAGGGGUGUAUGUGGAGUGUCAUCUUCGAGGUCUGUGACGUCCUGAUGUAGGAAAGUAGGGGUCACGUCAACUACAGUCUUAUCUACUGCUUUCUGUAAGUACUUUUGUAUGCAAGGGAGUACGUAACAGGUCAGAAAUAAGAAAAUGAUGGUCAUUAUAAGAACAGCUGUCCCCACCUGGAAGAGGGUCCUCUGCCAACCAUUCAUCCAUCCAAACCAUCUGUCCCAAGUGUCGGUGACCCCUGAAUUUUUCUUCAGCUCGUCUGCAAGACUAUCCAGCUUCUCUAUGGCCAUAGUCACUUUACCAUUUGGCCCAGUGUUGUCUGGUAUGUAUGUACAGCAUGUCAUGGUCUCAGGGAGGAUUUUACAUACACCCCCUUUUUCAGCUAGGAUCAUAUCUAGGGCCAUUCUGUUCUGAAAUGUCAUCUGAGUGGUGGCUUGUAGUUGUUCUGCCAGGCCCUGUAGGGCAUCCCUAGUAUAAUUGACAAAGCGCUGUUGGUUAUAGUAGAUGUAGUUAAUCCAAUUGACAUUUUUGUUGGCAGUUAUCAUUGGAAUUAGGGAUUCAAACCCUGCAGCCACUUCAUCUCUUGCUUUGAAUUCAUUAGGCACCCCCCUUGGCACACCUAUGGCAUCAAUAUACACAUGGGGGUCGAAGCUCCCUCGGAUGGGAGUCUCUCGUUUGGUUCUGGAAUGUAUAUGUGUGGGGUCUAAUGUGUUAUGACUACCAUCUGGAAUAAUGUGGAUAGGCAUUAUGACUUUAGUUAGGGCACACUCCCCCCACCAUUGCCCAGCUAAUUGGGACCUUAAUUGUUUAUCACCACAUAACCAAUAGAUAUCACCGAUUGUCUUCGUAUGAUUCAUUAACAGUGAUGUAGGUGGGUUAUGAUAAGUUGAGCAGUAUCCUGAUGGGAAUUUGCCCAGAUAUAAACCAGUGUUCUUUGGUAUUGCAUAACAUGUGUAGUUACCUGGGUAGAUGGUGACUCCAUCAGGUGGCUUUACAUGUCCAUGACUGAUCGGGUAGAUUUUCUUCCACGAUUCACAUGUUGAGGAGUUAGUGGUGGAUUGUGCAUAGAGACUCAAUACGCAUAAUUCCACCUCGGGAGGUAGACUCAGGGGAACGGUACCCAGAUGGGGCCUAGCCCCUCCACAUACAUAGCAAUUAGUCUUGUUGUGUGAGUUAGCAUUGUAUCUCAUCCAUUCUAGCCACAAAUUAGUAUCUGAGAACCCAGUCUCUACGGCCAUAGUGUCUUCAAAGGUGGGGUUGGCUAUGGCUACCAUGUCAUGUAGAGUCUUAAUAUGGGGUUUUAAUGGGUUAAUUAUCAUGUGAGUGGUCCCUACCCAGUCUGAGGAGGUGAGCAUAUCUUGUAGGUAAAAUGUCCCCAAUGCAUUAUGUGAGCCACCCCCCUUCCAGUACAUCCCCAUCACAUAUUCCCCCGCGUCUCUUGGGCUAGGGUGCUCUAUAUUCAUGGUAAGUUUAAUGGGGGUUGACCCUGUGGGUUUACUCAGGGUCAUCCUGGAAAGUAGGGGCUUCCCAUCUUUGUCAAGUCUGUCCAGUGCAACCUGUGGCCUGUAGCCCCAUGGCCUACCUGUAUUCCAUCCGGCAGCUUUCCAUGAACUACAAUGAUGUCCCCAAGCUCCCCCGGUCACACAAAUGUAUGGAUCCUUUUUAUUAGGUAUGUCUUUGUAUAUGGCUGCAUAUUGUGUUUGUGGAAAUGUACAAGUAACUAUGUCACAGUAAUCAAAGGUGUACGUGGCUACAUCAGUGUUAGAAGAAUUGUACCAAAAGGUGUAUACAUGAUUAUCUUUGGUUAUGGCCACUUGUUGAGCCCAUGCAAAGUGCAACAACAUAAGAAAACACAAGACACAUGAUAAAUUCAUAUUUCAGCAGGAACAGCUUCUUCUGGGGCAGGCACUUUUUUGCAAUGUGAAGCGUGUAUCCAGGAACUCUUUCCUGCUAGUUUAACUGACGUUGCUGUGAUCAGGAGCACUUGAUAAGGACCAUCAAAUCUCGGUUCUAGGGUGUGUUUCCUGAGAAACUUCUUGACCAUAACCCAGUCACCAGGAAGCAGCUUGUGUGUACCUGUAUUCGACUCAGGAUCUGGAAUAGAAGAAAACACUUGGGCAUGUAUUUUGGUCAGGGCAUGGGAGAGAGCGGUCACAUAAUCUACCAUAGCAUCUGACUGAAUCUGAAGCUGUUGAGGAAAGUAACAACCUAACCUGGGUGCUGUACCAAACAAAAUCUCAUAAGGCGAUAGGCUAUAUUUUCCCCUAGGUGUGUACCUUACACUAAACAAUGCCAGUGGGAGACUCUCGGGCCAGGGCAUGUUAGUUUCUUGUGACAUUUUAAGCAUUCUGGCUUUCAAGGUGCCAUUCAUGCGCUCUACCUUACCACUACUCUGUGGGUGAUAUGGUGUGUGGAAUGCAAGGGUCACCCCCAGUGCUGACCAGACUUCCCGUGUUAGCGAGGCAGUAAAGGAGGUCCCCUGGUCACUUUCAAUCACUUCUGGGACUCCAUAGCGGCAAACAAUUUCCGUCAAAAGAUACUUGGCUGUAGUCCUUGCGGUGAGGUUAGUUACUGGGAAGGCUUCUGGCCAUCCUGAAAACAUGUCCACUAUGACCAAUGCAUAUUCAUAACGUCCACUCUUUGGCAUCUGAAUGUGAUCAAUCUGGAUCCUCUGAAAGGGAUACUGUGGCUUGGCUAGGUGGUUAGGUGCGGUCUUUAUAAUCUUUCCAGGAUUGCAUUUAGCACAUAUAGUACAAGACUUACAGUAAUUCUGUGUUAAGGUGGUGAUGCCUGGUGCUUCAAAGUAUUUGUCAAUCAGUGAGUUCAUCAGAAGUUUUGACAGGUGAGCGGGCCCAUGGGCCCAUUGUACCACUGCUGGGUACAUGCUUCUGGGUAAGCAGAACUUGAGAUUGAUAGUGUAGACAUCAUCACGGAGUACAGCACCUUUAUUUUUCCAACCUUGUUUCUCCUGGGGAGUGGCAGCAGCUUGCUGUUCCUUCAGAAGCCUAAGGUCUGUAGGUAAUGUUUGCAUAGUGUAGAUAGGUAAUGUGUCUGUGGCCACUCUUCUGUCCACUUCCCAUCUUUGCCGUGCUGCUUCCUUAGCUGCUUGAUCAGCUAGGUGGUUACCACGUGCUUCUUCUGUGUCUAAUCUUCCAUGAGCUUUUACUUUCAGUACUGCCACCUCUGCUGGAAGUUCCAGUGCAUCCAUCAGCUCUGCAAUGGCUGCCCCAUGUUUUACUGGGGUACCAGUGGCCGUAAGAAAUCCUCUGGUCUUCCAAAUUAGGCCAAAGUCAUGUGCCACUCCCAGGGCAUAUCUUGAAUCCGUGUAAAUGUUGACACGUAAACCUUCAGACAAUUUGCAGGCCGCAGUUAGGGCUGUCAAUUCAGCUUCUUGAGCAGACUUGGUUGGUUGUAGAGCAGCUGCUUGUAAUACUUGGCAUUCUGUGGUGACUGCAUACCCAGUGUGAUAUUGCCCCUGUUCAUCAGCAAAUCUUGACCCAUCCACAAAUAGUGUUUGGUCCGGAUUGAGUAAUGCAGCUUCAUAGACAGUUGGUAGGUGUGUGGUUUCCAUUUUCAUUUGUUCAAAACAAUCAUGAGGGAUAUCGAUAUCACAGUUUGUGGUGAGUGGAUCCUCACAGGCUUCUGUAUGGUACCUGGGGUACCCAGCUGUGCAGUAAUUAAUAAUCCUUUUGUUGACCCCCGUAGAAGUCAGUUGUUCUUGGGUCAUUUGACUCCAGGUUUUGGCUAUCGGGCCUAGGUCUUUCCAUGAGAUGUCAGGAGGUCUGGUGAAGGAAAUGUGCGGAAUAGAUGUUUCCCAAUGGUGAUAAAGAUGUGUCACACUCUCUGGGAGGUGGACUAAGACGAGCAUGGUACCUGUGUGGUCCCAAAACAAGUCGGUCAGGGUAAUGUAAAUUUCUUUGAGGUGGAAUACUUC